GCCUAACACAUGCAAGUCGAACGGAGCCAUCUAAACAAUCCCUUCGGGGUGCGUUUGGGGAAGCUUAGUGGCGGACGGGUGAGUAACGCGUGAGUAACCUGCCUUUCAGAGGGGGAUAACGUUCCGAAAGGAACGCUAAUACCGCAUAACGUAUUUUUACCGCAUGAUAGAGAUACCAAAGAUUUAUCGCUGAAAGAUGGACUCGCGUCUGAUUAGCUAGUUGGAGGGGUAACGGCCCACCAAGGCGACGAUCAGUAGCCGAACUGAGAGGUUGAUCGGCCACAUUGGGACUGAGACACGGCCCAGACUCCUACGGGAGGCAGCAGUGGGGGAUAUUGCGCAAUGGGGGAAACCCUGACGCAGCAAUGCCGCGUGAAGGAAGAAGGUCUUCGGAUCGUAAACUUUUGUCUUCAGGGACGAUAAUGACGGUACCUGAGGAGGAAGCCACGGCUAACUACGUGCCAGCAGCCGCCGUAAUAC
rnacentral:rRNA from 1 species